GGGGCUGAAGCACAUAGGCUGUGUGCCUGAUUGUCGAUCAGGAUGGAGCGGGUUCGAAUCCCGUCAGUCCCGCCA
rnacentral:tRNA from 2 species